GUGGACGGUAGUGUAGCGUUAGCACAUCUGCCUGUGAAGCAGCUAGGUAGGGUUAGAUUCCCUGCGUCCAACC
rnacentral:tRNA from 1 species